AUUAAAUUUAUUUUUUAAAAAAUUUUAUUUUAUUAAAAAUAAUUAUAAUUUUAAAAGUUUUAGUAUAGUUUAUAGAAAAAAUAAUAUUAAUAAUAGUUAAUUAGUAUUGUAAAAGAAUAUUGAAAUAAAUUGAAAAAUUAUUAAAAUAUAAGAAAUUAUUAUUUAAUGUACCUUGUGUAUCAGGGUUUAUCAAAUAAAAAAUAAUUAAUAUUAUUUUUCUCGAUUUUAAAAGAGUUAAUAGAUUAUUUUAGUUAAUGUUACAAAAUUAUUAAAAAUAAUUUAUUAGAAAUGAAAUGUUAUUCGUUUUUAAAGGUUUCUAGUUUUUUAAGAAAUAGAUUAAAUCUAGAUUUUAAAAAUUAAUUAUAUUAAUUAAUAUAAUAUAAUUUUUUUAAAAAUUAAUAUUUUAUGGGAUAAGCUAUAAAAUAGAUUUUUAUAAAUUAAUAAAUAAUUUAAUAAAUAUAUGCUUAGAAUUAGCAAUUAUUAAAAAGUAUGUUAUAAUAUAUUUUAUAAGUAAAUUAUUUAUUUAAAUUUUAAAUAUUUAUUAAAAUAUUUAUUAUAAUUUUAAUAAUAAAUUAUUAAUGAUAAAAUUAGUAUAUAUUAUAUAUUUAUUGUAAAAAUAUAUAUAAUUGAAAGGUUUUUAUAAAGAAUUCGGCAAAUUUAAUAUCCGCCUGUUUAACAAAAACAUGUCCUUUAGAAUUAAAUUUAAGGUUUGACCUGCCCAAUGAUAAUUUAUUUAAUGGCCGCAGUAUAUUAACUGUGCAAAGGUAGCAUAAUCAUUAGUCUUUUAAUUGAAGGCUUGUAUGAAUGGUUGGACGAGAUAUUAGCUGUUUCAUAAAAAUUAUUUAUAGAAUUUUAUUUUUUAGUUAAAAAGCUAAAAUUAAAUUAAAAGACGAGAAGACCCUAUAGAUCUUUAUAUUUAUAUAUAUUUUAUUUAUUUAGAAUAAUUUAAAUAUUAUAUUUAUAGAUAUUUUAUUGGGGUGAUAGUAAAAUUUAAAAAACUUUUAUAUUUUAAAAACAUUAAUAUAUGAAAUAAUUGAUCCAUUAAUAGUGAUUAUUAAAUUAAGUUACCUUAGGGAUAACAGCGUAAUUUUUUUAGAGAGUUCUUAUCGAUAAAAAAGAUUGCGACCUCGAUGUUGGAUUAAGAUAUAAAUUGGGUGUAGAAGUUCAAAUAUUUAAGUCUGUUCGACUUAUAAAAUCUUACAUGAUCUGAGUUCAAACCGGUGUAAGCCAGGUUGGUUUCUAUCUUUAGUUAUUAAUUAAUAUUUUAGUACGAAAGGACCAGAUAUUAAAAAAAUUAUUUUUUAUUAUAAAGAAUAUUAGUAAAAUUUUUAAAUA
rnacentral:rRNA from 1 species